rnacentral:rRNA from 1 species
UACGAAGGGGGCUAGCGUUGCUCGGAAUCACUGGGCGUAAAGCGCACGUAGGCGGAUUUUUAAGUCAGGGGUGAAAUCAUGGAGCUCAACUCCAGAACUGCCUUUGAUACUGGGAAUCUCGAGUCCGGGAGAGGUGAGUGGAACUCCGAGUGUAGAGGUGAAAUUCGUAGAUAUUCGGAAGAACACCAGUGGCGAAGGCGGCUCACUGGCCCGGUACUGACGCUGAGAUACGAAAGCGUGGGGAGCAAACAGG